rnacentral:rRNA from 1 species
AGCAGCCACGGUAAUUCCAGCUCCAAUAGCGUAUAUUAAAGUUGCUGCAGUUAAAAAGCUCGUAGUUGAAUUUCGGGACUAAUAUGUCGGUCGUGCCUCGGUACGUACUGGUAUUUUUGGUUUCUCCCUUCUGACGAACCUUGAUGUCAUUAAUUUGGUGUCUUGGGAAAUCAGGACUGUUACUUUGAAAAAAUUAGAGUGUUUAAAGCAGGCUCACGCUUGAAUACAUUAGCAUAAAAUAAUGAAAUAGGACGUUUGAUUCUAUUUUGUUGGUUUCUAUGAUCGACGUAAUGAUUAAUAGGGAUAGUUGGGAGCAUUAGUAUUCAAUUGUCAGAGGUGAAAUUCUUGGAUUUAUUGAAGACUAACUACUGCGAAAGCAUUUGCCAAGGAUGUUUUCAUUAAUCAAGAACGAAAGUUAGGGGAUCGAAGACGAUCAGAUACCGUCGUAGUCUUAACCAUAAACUAUGCCGACUAGGGAUCGGAUGAUGUUUAAUUUUUUAAUGUACUCA